AUGCUUCCUGGUGGUCCAGUGGAUUCCCUGGUGGUCUGGUGGGCUGUCCAGCAGGUCUGCACCUACAGCUCAGUUCAGACCCUUCUCAAUGCUCUCUUCUGGUCGCUGACCGGGAAGGAGCAUCAGCAACGAUCUUUACCAAGGCAGACAUGGAGACCUGUUCUGACCUUCUCUGUAGAUAUCCCAACUGGUCCAUGCAGC